rnacentral:rRNA from 1 species
UACGUAGGUGGCAAGCGUUUGUCCGGAAUUAUUGGGCGUAAAGCGCGCGCAGGCGGUCCUUUAAGUCUGAUGUGAAAGCCCACGGCUCAACCGUGGAGGGUCAUUGGAAACUGGGGGACUUGAGUGCAGGAGAGAAGAGUGGAAUUCCACGUGUAGCGGUGAAAUUCGUAGAUAUCGGGAGGAACACCGGUGGCGAAGGCGGCGACCUGGGACGAAUACUGACACUGAGGUGCGAAAGCGUGGGGGAGCAAACAGG